UACGUAGGGGGCAAGCGUUGUCCGGAAUCAUUGGGCGUAAAGCGCGCGUAGGUGGCUUCAUAAGUCCGUUGUGAAAGUCAAAGGCUCAACCUUUGAAAGCCGAUGGAUACUGUGGAGCUAGAGUACGGAAGAGGCGAGUGGAAUUCCUGGUGUAGCGGUGGAAUGCGCAGAUAUCAGGAGGAACACCAAUAGCGAAGGCAGCUCGCUGGGACGUUACUGACACUGAGGCGCGAAAGCGUGGGGAGCGAACAGG
rnacentral:rRNA from 1 species